AUAUCAAUAAGCGGAGGAAAAGAAACUAACAAGGAUUCCCCUAGUAACUGCGAGUGAAGCGGGAAAAGCUCAAAUUUAAAAUCUGGUAGUCUUUGGCUGCCCGAGUUGUAAUCUAGAGAAGCGUUAUCCGCGCUGGACCGUGUAUAAGUCUCCUGGAAUGGAGCGUCAUAGAGGGUGACAAUCCCGUACUUGACACGACAACCAGUGCUCUGUGAUACGUCUUCUACGAGUCGAGUUGUUUGGGAAUGCAGCUCAAAAUGGGUGGUGAAUUCCAUCUAAAGCUAAAUAUUGGCGAGAGACCGAUAGCGCACAAGUA
rnacentral:rRNA from 1 species